ACCAUCGGUUACAUAACGUUUCCGUUGGGUGCGUUGCAUUCCAUAUGGUUUGUAUCCAGUUUUUUUAUUUUGCUUUUAGCAUUAUCAUUUUUUGUUUUUUGUUUUGUUAAAUUGGAAACCAUAUGAUGAAUAUGGAUUGUCAUUUUCUCACGACGGUCGUCUGAGUUAACUAUGAUGAAAUAAUCCUAUAUUUCUGAUGGUUACACCCUUCAGCUCAUUAAUCUUUAAUGUUGAUGAUAAAUAAAUUUUUUUUUUUGGUAGGUGAUGAAAUAUCUUUCUUGGGCAUUUCAUAACACAAUUAUAAAGUGCAAAUUGUUUUUGAUUUACUAACUUUCCAUGAUAUAAAUCGGGUAAAGCUGUACAAAAAAAAUUAUUCGGGUAAGGCACUAAAAAAUGAACUAUUUGACUAAAAGUAAAUCCUAUUUCUUAUGAAAUACUAGCAAAUUUAAGAAUUUAUAGGGAUCCUAGUUGCAUAACAUUGUGACAUGAAUGUUAUAUGAUAUAUGUAACACGUGACAAUCUCAUUUUAAAAUAAAGAUAAAAAUAAACCAAAAAAACACUCUAAAAAGAGAUAAGAAAACAAAA
rnacentral:lncRNA from 1 species